rnacentral:rRNA from 1 species
GACGAACGCUGGCGGCGUGCUUAACACAUGCAAGUCGAACGGAGUGGCGAACGGGUGAGUAACACGGGGAUGAUCUGCCUUGCACUUCGGGAUAAGCUUGGGAAACUGGGUCUAAUACCGGAUAGUGCAAGAUGAGCUCGCGGCCUAUCAGCUUGUUGGUGGGGUAAUGGCCUAACAAGGAGUGGACGGGUAGCCGGCCUGAGAGGGUGUACGGCCACAUUGGGACAGGGAUACGGGCCAGAGGCCUACGGGAGGCAGCAGUGGGGAAUAUUGCAAGAUGGGCGGAAGCAUGAUGCAGGGACGCCGGGUGGGGGAUGAAGGCCUUCGGGUUGUAAACUCCGUGCGACAGGGACGCGGUACCUGUAUAAGAAGCACCGGCUAACUACGUGCCAGCAGCCGCGGUAAUAC